UGAGGAAUAUUGGUCAAUGGGUGCAAGCCUGAACCAGCCAUCCCGCGUGAAGGACGACUGCCCUAUGGGUUGUAAACUUCUUUUGUAUAGGGAUAAACCUACCCUCGUGAGGGUAGCUGAAGGUACUAUACGAAUAAGCACCGGCUAACUCCGUGCCAGCAGCCGCGGUAAUACGGAGGGUGCAAGCGUUAUCCGGAUUUAUUGGGUUUAAAGGGUCCGUAGGCGGACUUAUAAGUCAGUGGUGAAAGCCUGUCGCUUAACGAUAGAACUGCCAUUGAUACUGUAAGUCUUGAGUAUAUUUGAGGUAGCUGGAAUAGGUAGUGUAGCGGUGAAAUGCAUAGAUAUUACUUAGAACACCGAUUGCGAACGCAGGUUACCAAGAU
rnacentral:rRNA from 1 species